GACAGAGGGUGCAAACGUUGCUCGGAAUCACUGGGCGUAAAGGGCGUGUAGGCGGGAAGGAUAGUCAGAUGUGAAAUCCCUGGGCUCAACCCAGGAACUGCAUUUGAAACUCCCUUUCUUGAGUGUCGGAGAGGAAAGCGGAAUUCCUGGUGUAGAGGUGAAAUUCGUAGAUAUCAGGAGGAACACCGGUGGCGAAGGCGGCUUUCUGGACGACAACUGACGCUGAGACGCGAAAAGCGUGGGGAGCAAACAGG
rnacentral:rRNA from 1 species